UUCUCUUCUACAAUGGAAACUCCAGUCAACAAGGCAAGCAGGAGCCUGAUAGCCAGAGCGUGAAAUGGGGCCCUUUUCAAGUAGGCUCUGGGGUUUUUCCCUGGUACGCUUUGCUCUAGCCAGGAGUUGGCAGGAUAGCCCCUGUCCCUCUGCAGCACGUGCAUCAAUGGCAGCCUAAACGGGACUUUGGAUGUCCAAGUCCCAUCUCCGUUGCCACUGCUAACCCUGGAAGGCAACUUCUUGCUGGUAGUUGAAAGUGCUGCCAGCGGUUGUCCUCUCUGGGUAGCGGGCUGCAGCUGGUCCAGGCUUGUGCAGGAGACAAGCUUCCCACGCUGCCUCUCGACUCGUGGUAGAGCAAGAAUGCAUCAGCCAAAAAUCUUGCCUGAUUUCGCCAGGAGAUUGCUGGUGUCUAAAGCCGUCCACCCGAAUAUUCAUUUGGCUGGCAGUCAGCAAAAUGCCAGUUAAUCUUGGGAAUGGUUUUUCUUUUUUUUUUUUUUUUUUUUUUUUUUUUAUUCUGAAGUGGGUCAAUAAAUCUCUUGCCAGAUUCCCAGUUCUCUGCUGGUGGAGGGGCUUGUUGCUUCCCUGAGGAGUGAAUUCCUUACAGAAAUCGGGCCUCCCACAUUAGUAGUCUCAGUUUUGGUCAUGUUUUUCUAUUUUUUUUUCUGUUCACAGUAUUUUGUGUGUACGCGCGUGUUGUAGUUUUGGCAGCUUGAUUUGGCUGCAUUAUCAAGUGACGAAAUAAUCCUCUUUUACCCCAGGGGAUAUGAUUUGGUUUUGGUUUUUUCUUUUUUUUUUUUUUUUUUUUUUUCCAAUAUGAUAAAUCCUGCUUGUAAAUAGCUGGAGCUAAAACCUGGGGCUGAUAGCAAAUGAGAACCAGGGCUGUAGAGCGAUACGGAGCUGGUGGAGUAUUUUACUGACCUCACAGGCUGAUCUACUUGAGACUUGGAGAUUUUCAGUGCAAGGCUGAGAUGCCGCAGCACCUCCAAUGGCAGCGACGGACUUGCCCCUUCACGCGGUCUCCCCAGCACCUCCCAUUGCCAGGUACCACUGGGGAACAGGACAUGUCCCGAGUGGGAUGCGUUCCCUUCCCCUGGAUCAUUUCCUAGGACGCCCGAGCCGCUUGCCCAGGGUCCCAUUUCCCUGCUGACUCUGGAGAAGCAGUAUCUGCAUCCCAGGGCUUCGUGACAGCCUCUAACUUCCCGCCCUCCCUCGUUAAGUAUCAUAUUGUAUAGUAGCUUUCAGACCAUACAGUAUUCAUUGGGUUAUUCCUAUUAUUAUCAAGUAGCUGGAAUUGUGAAGGUCGGAGUAGUUAGAUCUUUAGCUUUUAUUCCUUUUUUUUGUAUUACUAUCCAUGUGUAUAAAUUAUUGAUCAUGUUGCUGGCUUUUAUAAACUCUAAGCAAGGGGGGAAACCCUUCCUAACCCUUUGCAAAUGGUAAUGAAGCACUGUUUUUAAAUAAAAGAGAGAAACACCAG